GGAGAGGUGGCCGAGCUGGUUGAAGGCGUUAGUCUCGAAAACUAAUGUACGAAAAAAUGUAUCGAGGGUUCGAAUCCCUCCCUCUCCG
rnacentral:tRNA from 1 species